AGAACCUUACCUGGGCUCGAAAUGUAGUGGAAUCCGGCAGAAACGUCGGCGUCUAGCAAUAGACCGCUAUAUAGGUGCUGCAUGGCUGUCGUCAGCUCGUGUCGUGAGAUGUUGGGUUAAGUCCCGCAACGAGCGCAACCCUUAUCUUCAGUUGCUACCAUUUAGUUGAGCACUCUGACGAAACCGCCUCGGAUAACGGGGAGGAAGGUGGGGAUGACGUCAAGUCCUCAUGGCCUUUAUGUCCAGGGCUACACACGUGCUACAAUGGCCGGUACAAACCGCUGCAAACCCGCGAGGGGGAGCUAAUCGGAAAAAGCCGGCCUCAGUUCGGAUUGGAGUCUGCAACUCGACUCCAUGAAGCUGGAAUCGCUAGUAAUCGUGGAUCAGCAUGCCACGGUGAAUACGUUCCCGGGCCUUGUCACACCGA
rnacentral:rRNA from 1 species